GCGCCCGUAGCGCAAUUGGAUAGAGCGUUAGAUUCCGGUUCUAAAGGCUGGGGGUUCGAGUCCCUUCGGGCGUACCA
rnacentral:tRNA from 17 species